GGCGUGGGUAACCUACCUCGGGGACCGGGAUAGCCAUUCUAACGAGUGGGUAAUACCGGCGUUAUGGCGAAGGCGCAUGUUUUUGCCAUGAGAUGAAUUUCGCCUCGAGAGGGGCUCACGUGAUAUUAGCUAGUUGGUGAGGUAACGGCCCACCAAGGCUGAGAUGUCUAGCGGGUGUGAGAGCACGACCCGCGCCACUGGCACUGAGACACUGGCCAGACUCCUACGGGAGGCUGCAGUCGAGGAUCUUCGGCAAUGGGCGCAAGCCUGACCGAGCGACGCCGCGUGAGCGACGAAGGCCUUCGGGUUGUAAAGCUCUUUAGCAGGGGAGGAAGCCGAAAGGUUGACCUAUCCUGAGAAUAAGCACGGGCUAAGUUCGUGCCAGCAGCCGCGGUAAGACGAACCGUGCGAACGUUGUUCGGAAUCACUGGGCUUAAAGGGCGCGUAGGCGGGCUGUCAAGUCCGGGGUGAAAUCUUUCGGCUCAACCGGAAAAGUGCCUCGGAUACUGACAGCCUCGAGUGAGGUAGGGGUAUGUGGAACUUCCGGUGGAGCGGUGAAAUGCGUUGAUAUCGGAAGGAACGCCGGUGGCGAAAGCGACGUACUGGACCUCUUCUGACGCUGAGGCGCGAAAGCUAGGGGAGCAAACGGGAUUAGAUACC
rnacentral:rRNA from 1 species